UAUUUUACCAUUUCCAGGUAUCCGCUGGCUUCGUGACCGAUACUUGCGAGCUGUUCAAUUUUACAGCACUGCCUUCAGUCCCAGAGGGGUUUGUACAGCUGGGAAAUCCUUCAGCGUGGUAUUACCACGGGACAAACAAAGUGUGGGAAGAAGCCAGGUCUUACUGUCGGUCUCUGGGCUCUUCCAUCUUUCUGACGACAAUUAAGGACGCCGAAGAGAACGCUGUGCUUGUUGAUUAUGUGCACGCCAAUGGUGGAACACAUUUUUGGACUGAUGGAAUCAAUGGCGGCGCCCACUGGGUCUGGAACCGUACUGGCGAGAACAUAACGUAUACCGACUGGGCAAGCGUUUCCAGCGGCACCGGAUGUUUGGUCAUUGCUGUAAGACCGGACACCAGUGACCCUACUCAUGGACAAUGGUACAAAAACGCUUGUCAUCACCCUUUUGAUUUCGUCUGUAAACUAUAUCACUCUUUUACCUGAAAAGCAGGUGUCAUGUCUGUGAAAUUUAUUCAAUGACACAAUAAAGACACCGAGCAGAGGUAAUCUGUACAUAUAUUAGUAGACGAGUUUUGAUAUAUAUGGUAAAUGAUAUUCACGGAAAUUUGCUCGUUUUAUUAUAAUUUUUUAUCGUUAUCUAUGAAAAAUUAAAAAGCCAAUGUCAAUAAUACGUAACCCAUUGUUUAACGUGUCCAACCAUAGAGGAGAUCGUCAGAGUACAAUAACGUAGAAAU